GUGUUCACUUCAGGAGCAUAUACACUGAAAUUGGAAAUAUACAGAGAAGGUUAGUAUGGCCCCUGCGCAAGGAUGACAUGAAAAUUCUAAUGUGAAGGAUUCUA
rnacentral:snRNA from 1 species